UACGUAGGGGGCAAGCGUUGUCCGGAAUUAUUGGGCGUAAAGAGCGCGUAGGCGGUCCGAUAAGUCGGCUGUGAAAGUCUAGGGCUCAACCCUGGAAAGCCGGCCGAUACUGUCGGACUAGAGUCCGGAAGAGGCAAGUGGAAUUCCCGGUGUAGCGGUGAAAUGCGCAGAUAUCGAGAGGAACACCGGUGGCGAAGGCGGCCAACUGGACGAAGACUGACGCUGAGACACGAAAGCGUGGGGAGCAAACAGG
rnacentral:rRNA from 1 species